rnacentral:lncRNA from 1 species
GGCCCUAUUAGAUACUUGUUUUUUUCAUCAAAACCUUAAACCAUUCCAUUUUCUCUUGUGCAGGUGUAAGGGCAGAACUGAUUGCAUGCGAUACACAGCGGAUAAGAGGAAAGUGGCACUCAAUUCUGUCUUCUAAAGAGUAUCCCAAUUAGCAAACUUCUUGUUGGAGGCAUGACUGUCUUCCUAUGAAACUGAUCUGACAUUCAGCCCUGAUAUCUAAUGACUUGUUCCAGUUUCAUCUUUAAGUCUUUUUAUACAGCACUUAAAAAAAAAAUAAACACAAAUUAUUACAUCAUCAGCAGAGGAACAUAUGGGCCAUCCAAAAGAGAAGUUCCAGCUCCUUCAUAUACUGAGCAAAAGAGGUGAAGCUACUGGAG